GCAGCCAUGACGUCCCCCAAGUGUCUUGAAAAUGUUUUCGAAAAUUUUUACUGCGUUCCCAAUCAUUGAAUUUUGACGCAACGAAAAAAAUAUUCUUUCUUCUGCUAUAGAUAUCCAACGAUUCCAUGACUGCCCAAGCAACAGGACCAUGAAGACUACCGUCCCUAACACCACCAACAACACCAGCAACAGCACCAUCAAAAAAUACUGGAGACAGUAACAAUAUUUGUUACUUAAAAUUAUUAACUAUUUUUUAAAAUUGUAUAAAAGAAAACGUAAAGAACCAGUGGGAACAUAAUUUUCAUAUUGUAUUUUUUGUGUGAGAACUUUCGGUGAUGAGUUUUUCA
rnacentral:lncRNA from 1 species